AGCUGAGUAGAGGCAGUCUCACUGGAGCCCCUGAUCUCUCUCCUCAAAAAAUCAAAUCCACUACCUAAAAUUUCUCGAAGUCUAGCCACCUCUGCAGAUAGAUUGGAGACCUCUGUGAUGUCCUCAUGCGGCUGGAGAUGAGCUAAAGAUAAUACUUGCCUCUGUAAAUCUAGAACUUUGUCCGUCAGUCUUAGAACACAUCCCUCAAGCUCCUCAAGUCGUACGAACUGAGCUGUGAGUAUUUGAAAAAUAGUAGAGAUAUGAGGGAUGAGUCAUCCUGAGAUGUCAACCUCUAAGCAAAGACUGAGGUGGCAAACUGCUAAGAUAAAAUGGAGGCAACACACUGGGACAUCAGC
rnacentral:lncRNA from 1 species